rnacentral:rRNA from 1 species
UACGUAGGGGGCAGCGUUGUCCGGAUUUAUUGGGACGUAAAGGAGCGAUGUAGGCGGCUUGGUAGGUCCGCUGUGAAACUCGAGGCUACAACCUCGAGAUGUCGGCGGGAAACCACUUGGCUAGAGUCCGGAAGAGGGAGAGUGGAAUUCCCGGUGUGGAGCGGUGAAAAUUGGCGCAGAGUAUACGGGAAGAACACCUAUGGCGA